rnacentral:ncRNA from 1 species
UAAAAAGUGAUGAUAAGAAUGAGUAAAUAGAAUUUUUUUAUUUAGAGAGGAAGUGUUUGGGUGAAAACUUCUUAAAAAGUCUAUUGAAGCUAUCUUUGAGCUAUAUUUACUUAAGAGGUGUAAAGUUUUUUACAUAAUUAGGGUGGUACCGCGGAAGUAGAGCUUUCGUCCCUUGG